GAGCUGUGAUGUUUCAUGCCUUUCUGUUGGUGGGGUCCAUCAAUUUUGUCUGAUCUUUAAAUGAAGACAUUAAAGGCCAAUCUGAGCUC